GGGUUUGCAAAUGCAAAAUUCAGCACUUAGAACACUCGGACCACUGACAUUGAUCACUUGUCCACCCAAACAUGUAUGUUUCAGGGGAGCAACAGUAGCAAAUGAUUUUGUCCAUCAUAAUUUUGGAUGUACAACUUCUGAUGAUCCAUCACCAUCUUAUCGCAGAAAUUCGUGCCACAUGGACGCAAAUUUAUUUUUCAAGUGCCUUUGCAACACUGAUGGCUGUAACCGCGAUAGAAUGGGUAUGUUGUGAACUAAAUUUUCAGCAAGCUUCUUUCAUUAAAAU